UUUCUUUGCUGGCGACCGGCGCACGGGUGAGUAACACGUAUCCAACCUGCCCUUUACUCGGGGAUAGCCUUUCGAAAGAAAGAUUAAUACCCGAUGGGAUAAUUAUUCCGCAUGGUUUGAUUAUUAAAGGAUUCCGGUAAAGGAUGGGGAUGCGUUCCAUUAGGUUGUUGGUGAGGUAACGGCUCACCAAGCCUUCGAUGGAUAGGGGUUCUGAGAGGAAGGUCCCCCACAUUGGAACUGAGACACGGUCCAA
rnacentral:rRNA from 1 species